ensembl:lncRNA
CAGAUAUCUUCUGUUUGCCCUUCCAUAAAGACGUCCCACCCAUGUCCAUGUUGCUCUUCGCCAUCAAGACGAAGAGCCUGUGCUUGGAUCUGGCAUCUUAUGAUCUUCAGCAUCCACCUGUCUAUAUUGAUUUGUCCAGGCUUUCCUAAUGCAUUAGUGCUUGAGUCCUUUCUCCAGGUUGACAUAGCAAUCCUUCAUAUCACCUAGGGACAAGUUGAUGGAAUCUCACUCUGUCACCCAGGCUGGAGUGCAGUGGUGUGAUCUCAGCUCACUGCAACCUCGGCUUCCCGGGUUCAAGCGGUUCUCCUGCCUCAGUCCCCUGAGCAGCUAGGAUUACAG